UGAUAAAUGCAGAGAUGGGAGUAACACCCCUACAGGCCAAGGAAUGCCAAGGACUGCUGGGAAACACCAGAAGCUAGAAGCAAGGAAGGAUUCUUCUCUCCAGGUUUCGGAGGGACCGUGGUCCUGCCAACACCUUGACCUCAGACUUCUAGCGUCUAGAACUAUGUUACUCUCCUCCCCACAAAAGGAUUAUACACGCCUGCCUUUUGUCAGAUGACUUGAAGCGUUUCCCUGUGAGUUGGUUAUACUUUCCUGCCCCAUGAGUAUCAGGCAUGGCUUGAGAUCUGCUUGACGAAUGGAAUCUGAGUCAUAAAGAUCUGCCCAUGAUUUCUGAGCUGAAGCUUUAAGUACCAUCAUGUGGUUCUUCUAUGACACUUUUCCCUAUGCCAGGAGGCUGAGAUGAGGCCUGCCCCUUGAGCCAGGUCCCGGAAUGAGAAGAUACGUGG
rnacentral:lncRNA from 1 species